GGGUGAGAGAAAUUAGGAUAAGAGAGGGGGGACCUCUCCUCUGCACACUUCUGUAUCAUGAAUGAUCAUCACAACUGACAGAAAUGGUGGAGCCUGCAUUUACCUCCAGUUAAAUAAUAAGGGAACUCAAGAGCAAAGAGUAUGGAGGAACUGUUACGUACUCGAGGAGAGGAAAAAUUCCCUGUUAGAAAGGUUCCAGAAACACAGCCUGGGAUGCUUACAUGAUGCAGAACUGAGUUCCUGCUGUUAGUUCUGUGCAAUAUCCAAACAGAUUCAUGAUGCGAUUGGUAUCUAUUUCCCCUUGGGAAGGAAUGGAGAUUUUGAGUGUCUGAACUUCAUCCAGUGGACACCCGAAAGAAUCAUGCUGACCUCUGUUCAGGAGCAGAGAAAGAUCACAAAAGAAGGGGAAGAAAGCUACUAUCUUUCAGUUAUUUAUAUCCCAUGCCAAAGAGGAAAACAGUAUGACAGUUCUGCAAUCUGUCACUGGACCUAGUGCAAAUGCUGGAAGAUCCUACCAAGUAGCCAAAUGUGGCCUGAAAGCACCUGUGCCAUUUUGGCUGCUGUUACUGCAAAAAUACCAGAAACUAGCAACUUCAUGGAUUUAAUUGGAAAUGAAGGAACUGUAUUGAGAAAUAACAUCUCUCCAUGUAAGAAGUGAAGAAAAGGCAUGUUUCUCUUUUCUGUGUAUUAUUAGAACGUGUCUGCCUUCCUCAGCACAUCAGCACUAAUGAUGCUGAAGUCCAUAAAAGAUAAUUGCCUUGAGUCAUCCUCU